UUAAUUUCGGUAAUAAGAAGACACACUCUAUCACUUAUGAGUCUAUCUUUUCUCCAUUUUGCUUGACUCCAUUUACUCUUGUUUAAUACAUAGAUGACUGCCAUGUGGAAAAAUUAAAUCCAAGGGCUGUAAUUAAAAAAAAUUAAUAUAAGUAUUCUUUGAUACAUCAACACACUUCCAUCUUCUUUCAUCAUCACCUUCACUGCCGCCUCUGCCUCUUUCCUCUCGUCUCCUCUGCCACCGCUACCUUUCCUCGUUCGUACAAGUGGUGGUGCUCUUCACUCCUUUCAAAAUAACUACGAAGAAAUCGUUCAAUACCAUAUAAUCAAAAAGGAAGAAAAAUAAUUGAACAAAAACAUGUUUAGAAGCAAACUAAGGAUUGAAUUUAACCCCCCAAAUCAAUGAAAUUAAGCAAUUUUUAAAUAAAACCUCUUUAGGCUAGAGUUUCGAGUCUCCCUCAAUUAGAAACCACCGAAAAAUCUAUAACUUUAGAUAAAGUUUCUCCCAGUUAAACUUAUGUAGGAUAAAGUUAUGAGUUUCCUAAGCACGACUGCCUUUGCUGGAUCCACCUUCGAUGUUGGUGGUGUUGUUGUUUCCGCACUGGAGGUAAGACGACAAUGUCGGAUUCCGAUGGUGGCAACAACGGAGCAACUAGUCUUCUCCUGUUUGGAAGGAUGUUGAAGUUGAUGAUUGAGACCGAGGUGCACCUUUGAACUUUUAAUUACAUACGUUGGAUAUAUUUUUU
rnacentral:lncRNA from 1 species